rnacentral:rRNA from 1 species
CAGCCGCCGCGGGAAUACAGAGGGUGCGAGCGUUAAUCGGAUUUACUGGGCGUAAAGCGUGCGUAGGCGGCUUCUUAAGUCGGAUGUGAAAUCCCUGAUCUUAACUUAGGAAUUGCAUUCGAUACUGGGAAGCUAGAGUAUGGGAGAUGAUGGUAGAAUUCCAGGUGUAGCGGUGAAAUGCGUAGAGAUCUGGAGGAAUACCGAUGGCGAAGGCAGCCAUCUGGCCUAAUACUGACGCUGAGGUACGAAAGCAUGGGGAGCAAACAGGAUUAGAUACCCGCGUAGUCCCUGUCUCUUAUAC